UUUUUUGGGCCAGGCGCGGUGGCUCAUGCCUGUAAUCCCAGCACUUCGGGAAGCCGAGACGGGCAGAACACGAGGUCAGAAAAUCAAGACCAUCCGGAGGCUUGAGGCAGGAGAAUUGCUUGAACCUGGGAGGCCGGGGAUGCAGUGAGCCGAGAUUGCGCUGUUGCACUCUAGCCUGGCGACAGAGUGAGACUCUGUCUCAAAAAAGAAAGAAAGAAAGAAAAAAGAAAAAGAAAAUGCUUUUUUGUAACUGCAAUGCUGUCAAAUUCUCUCCACCCUCGGUCCACCUGGGACAUGCUGGAGCUGAUCUUUCUCAAAUUAUUUCCCAAAUAAAAGGGUCUCACUCUGUUGCCCAGGCUGGAGCAUAGUGAUGUGAUCUUGACUGACUGCAGCCUCCACCUCCCGGGCUCAAGAGAUUCUCCUGCCUCAGCCUUCUGAAGUGACUACAGGUGCGCACCACCAUGCCAGAUUAA
rnacentral:lncRNA from 1 species